AGCUAGCAUGGCAUCAUGGUUUGAGAGUCAGGCUGUGACUCUGGAGACCAGGGUUCGAUUCCCUGCUUGGCCA